rnacentral:lncRNA from 10 species
AAGCGCACCAAUCAGCACCCUGUCAAAACGGACCAAUCAGCUCUGUGUGAAACAGACCAAUCGGCUUUCUGUAAAAUGGACCAAUCAGCAGGAUGUGGGUGGGGCCAGGUAAGAGAAUAAAAGCAGGCUGCCUGAGCUAGCAGCGGCAAUGUGUUGGGGUCGCUUUCUACACCGUGGACACUUUGCUCAUUUGCUCUUUGCAAUGAAUCUUGCUACUGCUCACUCUUUGGGUCAACACUGCCUUUUUGAGCUAUAACAGCGACUGCAAAGAUCUGCAGCUUCACUCCUGAAGCUAGCGAGACCGCAAACCUACCGGGAGGAACGAACAACUCCAGACGUGCUGCCUUAAGAGCCCGUAACACUCACCGCUAAGGUCUGCAGCUUCACUCCUGAGCCAGCGAGACCACAAACCCACCAGAAGGAAUAAACUCUGAACACAUCCGAAUGUCAGGAGAAACAAACUCCAGACACGCCGCCUUUAAGAACUGUAACACUCACUGCGAGGGUCCGCGGCUUCAUUCUUGAAGUCAGUGAGACCAAGAACCCACCAAUUCGGGACACAAUAUGAAAGGAAGACUAACGUUUGCACUCCACCUAACCUACUACUUGGAGCAUGUUUGCUGAGGAUAAUGGCCUCCAGCUCCAUUCAUGUUCCUGCAAAAGACAUGAUCUUGUUCUUUUUUAGGUCUGCA